UUGUUUGAAUAUUUGUCAAUGAAAUUACCUGGAAGGAUCAUCCAUCAAGUUGUGUUUUGAAUAGUGCAUCCCAAAUUGAUUUCAGUGUAUCGGUUGCGCAAUCCCCAAUGGAUUUUUAAUGAACGAAGCGAACAAGAAAAUUAUGUGUGUUAUACGAUACGCGUGCCGUUGACGUGUAGGGUGCAUAAUAAUUAUGCGAAGCAAUCUUGCGUGAAAUGCGGGAAGCGUGCAGCUCCUUAUGUUCGAGACAAACGGCCACGCGCUCGCUCGGACGCCACUUACUACGAAAAAAGUGAUAAAAACCCGAAAGAGGCACCUCAUGGCGGGGCAUCAACUGUUGGUAACUCGUGAACCGCGACGCCCCAAUUGUAACCGAGUAUACAGCUAAUGAUAAUUUAAAGAAAUGGCGUGUGCCGGGAUCGUUACGCCGCUAACAUUUGGACAACAUAUGGCUAAACUGAUCGCUCGACGAUGUACGCCAAUAUAUUAUGAUUUCAACAAAUCAUUAAUUAAUUAAUAUUCAACACGAUUAAUAAUUUAAAGGUCACUGAAGGUGUUUGCACUUUGUGUUUGCGCAAAAAUGUGCAUUUCUGACAAUUAAUUAAAACUUAUCGCAUUUUA